GGGAGCUGCUAGGUCGUUCGCAGAGCGCUGCUCCACCCCAAGUCCAUCAAUGAGUACGGUAGUACAGACAUGGCCCAUGGAGGGUGAAAGGCCCGUUCGGGUGGAGAUUCGGCAGGCCAGUGCUUCUCUGGGUAGACCUUGGAGUCGGGUUGUUUGUGAAUGCAGCCCAAAGUGGGUGGUAAACUCCAUCCAAGGCUAAAUACAAGCACGAGUCCGAUAGCGAACAAGUACCGUGAGGGAAAGUUGAAAAGUACUUUGAAGAGAGAGUUAACAGUGCGUGAAACCGCUCAGAGGUAAGCAGGUGGAGUUGAACUGCAAGCUUUGAGAAUUCAGCUGGUGAGGUUGGUUUGGGCUUGGUCAAAUUGGUUGGGCCCCGAAGUACGUUAAACCACGUGUCCUUUCCCUUUGGGUUGGGAUGUGCGAUACACUUACCAAGUGUUGCACGCUUUGGGUGUUCAUCGAGCCUCCUUGUCAGUGCACUUUCUCAGAGUGGUCACCACGACCGACGCCGCUGUCAGGCUGUCAUAGUUAAACCGGUCUUGUAGUGUCCUUGUGGCAUUGCCUGGUCGGGAUGGCAGGUAGCUUGUUGGCUCGCUUCGGCUUGCUUUCGAGUGUAAUCAGCUGACUGUGACGGUUCUGUGCAGUGCGUCGGAGACGGCGGCCAGUGGUGUGUGCAUGCGUGCCCGAUUUGUUGGCGUACCCUGGUUUGGUUUCUGUGUUGCCUGUGAUAGCAGGCCUAGUUAUGGCUGGGGUUCGUUCGGCGAAUGGUUGCGUGUGUGGCACUUCCAAGGGCCAAUAGUCUGUGGUGUAGUGGUAGACUAUCCACCUGACCCGUCUUGAAACACGGACCAAGGAGAGUAACAUGUACGCGAGUCAUUGGGCGUAACGAAACCCACAGGCGCAGUGAAAGUAAAGGUUUGGCUUGUCACAAACACUGGAAGU
rnacentral:rRNA from 1 species